AGCUGACCUGCGAUCGACAGAAGGUCGCUAUGUGUCCUCUGAAACGUUGAGUCCGACUGACUCGAAUAUGAUGGUUGUGAGGGAACAAACACCGUCGGAAGCGCUUGCAAUAGUCCCGAUCCAGGUUUUUGUGCCGGCAUCCCAAACAA